GAUCAUGGCUCAGGAUGAACGCUAGCUACAGGCUUAACACAUGCAAGUCGAGGGGCAGCAUGAACUUAGCUUGCUAAGUUUGAUGGCGACCGGCGCACGGGUGAGUAACACGUAUCCAACCUGCCGAUGACUCGAAGAUAGCCUUUCGAAAGAAAGAUUAAUACCCGAUGGCAUAGUUCUUCCGCAUGGUAGAACUAUUAAAGAACUUCGGUCAUCGAUGGGGAUGCGUU
rnacentral:rRNA from 1 species